rnacentral:lncRNA from 1 species
UACCAUAUACUAGUUUGGUACUACUACCGUAUGGUAUUGUUGGUACGCAUUGCUGCUGACCGCUAUGGCAUACCAUGUACCAAAUGUUGCAUCCAUGCUAGUCAUGGAAUGGCAUGGAACUGUGGGGCACCAUACUACAUUAUGUCAUGACGUACCAUGGCAGUCACAUGCUAAGACACAUCUGUGAAAAUGGGUCUAUGCCAAUCCAUCUUGGUCUUUACCAAGUGUGCUGACAAAAAAUUUUUAAACAACUAUAAUCAAAAAACUAUAAAAUAUAAAGAAAACUGAGAAAAUAAUCAUUACACAAAAAGUGAAAUACAAAAUAUCAAAUACGCAGUAUGUUAAUAGGAAGUACCAACUUAACAACUUUCAAUACUAAUUCACUAAUAGAUCUGUUUCUCCAUACUCAAACAUUGUGAAGAUCCUUAAGGUGGGGGCUUAGGUGGCCUCUAGGCGGUUGUCUUGGAUAU